GCCUUCAUAGUGUAAUGGUCAGCACACUCGACGCGUAUUCGAGAGGUCCGAGGUUCGAGUCCCGGUGAGAGUG
rnacentral:tRNA from 1 species